UACGAAGGGGGCUAGCGUUGCUCGGAAUCACUGGGCGUAAAGCGCACGUAGGCGGAUCUUUAAGUCAGGGGUGAAAUCCUGGAGCUCAACUCCAGAACUGCCUUUGAUACUGAGGAUCUCGAGUCCGGGAGAGGUGAGUGGAACUGCGAGUGUAGAGGUGAAAUUCGUAGAUAUUCGCAAGAACACCAGUGGCGAAGGCGGACUCACUGGCCCGGUACUGACGCUGAGGUGCGAAAGCGUGGGGAG
rnacentral:rRNA from 1 species